rnacentral:rRNA from 1 species
UACGGAGGGUGCAAGCGUUAUCCGGAUUCACUGGGUUUAAAGGGUGCGUAGGUGGGAAUGUAAGUCAGUGGUGAAAUCUCCGUGCUUAACAUGGAAACUGCCAUUGAUACUAUGUUUCUUGAAUUUUCUGGAGGUAAGCGGAAUAUGUCAUGUAGCGGUGAAAUGACUUAGAUAUGACAUAGAACACCAAUUGCGAAGGCAGCUUGCUACAGGGAUAUUGACACUGAGGCACGAAAGCGUGGGGAUCAAACAGG